GAAAGAAUCAAAGUGCGUGAGUUUUAGAUUAAGCAAUAAGUAAAUGUCAAUCCAGAUUGGUCCUUAAUAUCUGACAUUGUAUAUUUUAUGCAGUUGCAUGCUUUUGUGCAAUUUGAAUCCAUCAAUGUAGCUGAGAAAACAGUUGAAGAGCUAAAUGAUGAGGGGAACUAGAGAAGUGGCCUAAGGGUUCGUUUAAUGCAUAGACACAGGGCAAAACCCUCUCAAGCAUGGGGAAGAAGGGACAUGAUGGAGAAGAACCCUGGGAAGAAGAAGAUGCUUCUUUAUCUGUGCAACGACCAGAGCAACAACUUGAGGAGUCUUUUGAGCAAUCUGAUGCUCUCUUCCAGGGGAAUAUGGGGAAGGGCAGAGCCGAGGCUGAGGCCAGGGAAGAGGACGUAGAGGAGGCCAAUACCAUCAGAAUAAUGGGGGAAAUCAUUUGGGGGCUCUUCUUUGAACAAUCUCACCAGUAAUGAGACUGCAAUUGUGGCGAAGCAGCCUCCGGGACCUCGCAUGCCAGAUGGAACAAGAGGAUUCGCGAUGGGUUGUGGGAAGCGAGUCUCAUCGGUCAAGACAUGAUAAAUCUAUUAGCGCCUAAAGAAGAUAAGAAAAAGUAUUCUCAAUAUCUUCUUCGCUUGUACAUUGAAGACAAUAGAAAGACCAAGUGGUGUCCUACCCCUGGCUGUGAAUACGCUGUAGAAUAUUUUGCUGGCAGUGAAGGUUACGAUGUUUCCUGCCAAUGCUCUUUCGACUUUUGCUGGAAUGUAAGCUUCUUUUUGGAAAUUUCUUGUAUCAAUAUGUAGCAAGUAGUGUGUUGACAUACUUUUGAUUUGAUCUACUGCA